UGGGGAAUUUUGGACAAUGGGCGAAAGCCUGAUCCAGCAAUGCCGCGUGUGUGAAGAAGGCCUUCGGGUUGUAAAGCACUUUUGUCCGGAAAGAAAUCCUUGGCUCUAAUACAGUCGGGGGAUGACGGUACCGGAAGAAUAAGCACCGGCUAACUACGUGCCAGCAGCCGCGGUAAUACGUAGGGUGCAAGCGUUAAUCGGAAUUACUGGGCGUAAAGCGUGCGCAGGCGGUUUGCUAAGACCGAUGUGAAAUCCCCGGGCUCAACCUGGGAACUGCAUUGGUGACUGGCAGGCUAGAGUAUGGCAGAGGGGGGUAGAAUUCCACGUGUAGCAGUGAAAUGCGUAGAGAUGUGGAGGAAUACCGAUGGCGAAGGCAGCCCCCCUGGGCCAAUACUGACGCUCAUGCACGAAAGCGUGGGGAGCAAACAGGAUUAGAUACCCUGGUAGUCCACGCCCAUAAACGAUGUCAACUGUUGUUGGGGAUUCAUUUCCUUAGUAACGUAGCUAACGCGUGAAGUUGACCGCCUGGGGAGUACGGUCGCAAGAUUAAAACUUAAAUGAAUUGACGGGGUCAUAGCUGUUUCCU
rnacentral:rRNA from 1 species